rnacentral:rRNA from 1 species
UACGUAGGGUGCAAGCGUUGUCCGGAUUUAUUGGGCGUAAAGAGCGUGUAGGCGGCUUUACAGGUCCGUUGUGAAAACUCGAGGCUCAACCUCGAGACGCCGGUGGAAACCGUAAGGCUAGAGUCCGGAAGAGGAGAGUGGAAUUCCUGGUGUAGCGGUGAAAUGCGCAGAUAUCAGGAGGAACACCCGUGGCGAAAGCGGCUCUCUGGGACGGUACUGACGCUGAGACGCGAAAGCGUGGGGAGCGAACAGG